GAGCCGAUGGAAACGCGAGAGGAUUUCGCACGAUGCCGCGGAACUCGCGUAGCGUUAACGAUUUUUCAGCUAACUUGCUAAUAUGAUUCCAAGUAUCGCGAAACACCAGAAAGACGAAAGCCAAUCCCGUCGUCCCGGGUCCACGUUCACGGAUUGCGAAUCGUUUCGUACAGGGUGAGUCGUGAAUCGUCGCGAUAUUCGAGCUAGGUCUGUCCGAUCAAAAAAGUAAUGAUUCAAACGAAUGUUUCUCGACACAUUUUCUUUUUAUUAGACUACCAGAACUACACCGCUGACCAUAAGCAUUGUAUUAGGACACUUGCAUGGAUACAUUGUAAUUGAAAUUCGUUUAGAAAUUCUACGAGUAACUACAUUUACAAAUACUCCAAUUCUUCCAAGUUCCUUCAUGGCUGCUGCCAUAAAAUGUAACGAAGUUAUAUUACUAAUUUAACACGUUGAACGCCACGUCACCCGCACAAGGCUGACAUGGAUUUUCACUGAGGAAUUAAAAAAUUAAUUCUGAAAAUCAAGUGUUGAAAAAAAGCAAGUCUGAACAGGAUUCAUGAAUUGUGAUCGGCUUGUAAAACUAAAUGCUAACCGCAAAUAUUAAAUUAAAUAACUUCCAUUUUGUAAUUGUUGCAAAAAAGUUAACGAAAUAAACGUCAGCAAAUGUAUCAAGUGCCCUAAUACUCGUGACCAGCAUUUUUCUUAGAGAUCCCAUGGGAAAAGCUCGGUAUCCCCGAGGCAAGCAACCCAGCUUCGCACAAUAAUAAUAAUAAUCAGAACUAGUUGAAAUAUCGCAGGGCUGUUUUCACGACCCACCCAGCACGUUCUUGCAAUCGCCGACCACGGAUGUUUGUUCCAUGAAAUUCCCGUGAAAAACUUACGAAGUCGGCGAGGGUUUUUCUCGAAACUGUGAAACUGGUUUCAAUUCGAGACUCUUUUUCCGCAAAACAGACACCGAAGAUGUCGCGCUCGUUACGAGAAAACAAACGUGCCCCGGAUAACAAUGUCCAAGUGCUCUGUGAAACCGCGAGAACGUUAUAUACUUCUUUUUCUCUUAGUGUUUCUUAAUUAUCUCGCCACGUGUAAUCAAUGCCGGAAAGCCUCUGCGAAACAAAAGCGAACUCGUUAGAGGGGCGUUUGUUGCCAUGCAUAUCGCAGUGUAAUUAUAUUUCGAGGAUUGUAACUUCAACAGUGGCCGGACAACCUUCGCGGCCGGCUGCCUUUCACGGAGUUAAAGAACACGUGAAUAUAUAUCCCUGAGUACAUCCGUGUCAUGCAUACGAGCCCGCGGUCCAAAUCAUGGAUACUUAAUAUUUCAAGUGGCAACGAAGAAUGGGACGUUAGUCGAGCGAUUUAACAUAUUUAUUCGAAAUUUUCAACAUAAUUAGUCCUCAAGGAACAGCGACUGCGCUGGAGUAUACGUGCUUCUUUCGCUGGGUCUUUUAAUUGAACUUGUUAGCGAUACCUCAACCUCCGUAAUCGAGUUUAAUUUAAAGACAUUCGCAGGGAAGGCUGUCGAUGAAUAAUGCAAUGGCAAAUCACUGCGACUGGAUUACCUAAUUCUAUUUUUCACCGGUCACGUUCAAACCCCCAAGAGUAAUACUCUGGAUCUACUUUAACAAGUUCAUAGUUCCUGGCAGAUUAAACAAUGUAAGGAUGGGUCAUCCGAGCUUUAGGUACAAAGCUUAGAAGAUUCACCCUGUAUGUUUUCACUCCUAGUUUUGUCUUUUACCUCAUUCACUGCCAAGCAAAUGUAAAGCGUUUCGACUUGGGCGCCAAGAUUCGAUACAGAUGUGCAAUCUAAGUUAUUAUUUUGAUAAUAAAGAAUAUAGAAUUUGUUGUUUUAAAAAAAAAUUUACGAUCUACUUUCGCAAUAAUUCCAUUCAAAAGGCUAUAAACUCAUCCCUCGAGUAAUUACUAUAAAUUUAAACUAGGAGACAGUAGUUGGCAGUGAAUGGGUUAAACAACGAAAAGCGAUUAUUUUCAUAUUAAAAUUAUCCAUUUCCUUUAAAAUUUCUUUCUCUGUAAAUAAUUUCUAAUAUUCGGAUAUCCACUGAAUUUCAAAGCUCGUUUCAAAUUCCGCCAUUCGGUGACAACGCGUGGGAAGAUAUUAGCGGGGGAAUAUCGCAGAGGAGGAGCAGUUUUCCGCGAGAUGAUCGAGAGAAAUGUGGUCACAGGUUUCCACGAAAACGGGCGAGUCGCAGCGAUACGUCAUAAUUAAUCACGUCGCAGUCGGGCUGUAUCGCUUUAUUGGUCGCAUUACACGCGACACCUGGCCUUUAACAGCGUCUCGAAUUUCCCGAACGAGUGAAAAGAGACCCGUGGAAUAAAUGCGCGUCGAUUUUAAUCGAACGCACUCGGUUCUCCGGGCUACAAAAUAUCCCCCUGUGUUUCCGGUCGGUUUGAUCCAAUUCGCGAUACGCCUUACCUCUUUCAUCGUUUUCACACAGUCCGCGAUUACAUAUUGACGCGUUUAAACCGAUCAAAAUGCAAAACACAUCCAGCGCUGUGGGGGAGAGGGGAGGGAGGGGGUGGGUGUCAUCGGGAAAUAUUUAACGUGGCGUACUUUUGCGAAUUUUUCCCUCAUUUUUCUCUAUUUACGAGCCAUCGCAGUUUCAAACGGUUCGCUCGAUAAAAAGGUUACACAAAUUGCAAUCAACGUUUAUGGGGGCGAUAAUUAUAGGAAAAUACCGCGAACGUGCUCGAAAUAUACACGAAAUAUAAACGUGCGUCCUGCGUCGAGGGUUGAAAUAAAUUCGAAGCGAAUGAUUGGUAUUAAAGGGUCCGCCGUUUGGCGAAUCGAACGCGCAUUCAAUGAUAUGCGAGACUGAAUUCGAAACUGUACCGAUAAUCGUAAUUAAUUUGAAUAUCAAGCGCGCGCAACUUACGUUCCACUCCGUAAUCCGAGGAGAGCAUCGAGAAUAAUAACGGGAUCGGGUAACGAUCGCGUAUUUACCGAGAUCGUUUCGAGACGAGGAUAAAGAGGGGGAUAAUUUAUACAUCGACGUAACUAAAAUACAAGUCAGAAGUGGGCACGAUAAUGAAAACCGUUCUGUUUUCUGUCCCUCGUUGCUCAUGAAACAUUCAAGAGCUCAGACAAAAGCUUCUUCGCGAGACGAUCGUCUCUUUCUCUGCCACUGUACCGAUCGACGAAUACCACUUCGGCUCAAGAUGGCUGGACGAGUACCGGUCGAGAGACGAAAAAAACAAGAGGGAGAACGGAAUAAAAAUGCCGCAGAAGUCGUGGUUUUCGAGUGCGGUUAUUAUGCUUUCCAAGAUUUUCGAAGGCUCGAGCAUUGUUUCGCUACCCGAAAAGGGCCAUGCUCGUGUCUCGAGCCGAGGCGAAACACGGGGCUACACUGCGCGGAAGACAAAUGAACGUUCUUCCCCAGCGGCGUGGGCUGAGCGCCAAACUAGAAACCACCCCUUCCCCGAGACCUUCGUUUCCUUUCUUCUACGCCCUCUCUCGUUUCUGGUCAUCCACCCAGCCCCCUGAAUCUCUUUCUUCUCCUUUUCCACCGGCCACUUGCUCUUAUUUCCCUCCUUUUGUUUAAUCCCAGCUUUUGCACCCGUACCACUACACCCAGUGGUGCACACGAUCCGACAUACCCGCUGAUCCCCUCCUCUCAUCGAGAUUAGAUCCCCAAAAUAGAGUCACGAAUUCGAGUGUUCGCAAAUCUGAGAGUGGAAUUUACCAAUCGUCGAAACUGUAGCACUUUUAAUUAGUCAAGACGCUCUCUGAACCUGAUACAAAUUUUUCUGACGUAUCUGCAAAGACUAACAGCUUUGAGCACAUUUUUCUUCUAUCCACGCCUUUAGUGCCGAGUACAAUAAGAAAUUUAAGAAAAUUUGUUUAAAUAAAUAAUAUACAGCCCAUAGAAGAUACGUCGAACCAGGGACAAAAGUGCAAAGUGAAGCAACUGACAUAGAACUGAACUGCAAGGAGAAAAAGAGCUAUACGGCCCUGUAUUAUUGAAUAAUAUUUGACCUAAUAGCGCCAGGAGGUUGUGCACCACUGCCGCGCCCUUUUUCACUCUCAUUCCUUCAGCCUGCUCUGACCCUUUCAUUACUUUUUUUUCUUUCCUAACCCCCUUCGUCGAGCCACUUUCACCGUCGCGACUCGGAAUCGACCACAUUCUAUUCCGCCUCUCCAUUCAACGAUCAGAAAGUUUCACGAAAUUCAUUAAAGACGCGUUUUAACUUCCCUCCCGAUUUGCCCGCUGGUCGAACACGGCGAAUCGGUUUCCGGUCAGCGUUUCUUUCGCUACGACCAGCGUUUUCCAGCCGCCGACUCGCGAAUCCCGCCACCGUACCGACUUCCUGGCUAACCGGACAGGACAAGAGAGGGAUGAUUCUUUUGUCCUUUGAAUUCCUUUGUGCACCGCGAAACUUCGACUGGAGUUCCUUUGCCGGCGAUCGCUGAAAGAACCGACGCUGCAGCGACGAAAGAUCAAUUUACACCGGAGACGGAUUCCGUGACUGCGAGAAUUCCCCCGCUGAUCGAAAGACGCUGCGAAUCCAUGAAAGGAACACCGCGACCAUAAAAUUCGUCGUAAAAAUUGAUUUUUCUGUCGAAGCACCCGUUGUUAAUCCUUUCGAUACAUUGGGCGAGAUAUCUCGCUACUAAAACGUAAUUUGUAUGAUUUUAUGAACGAUACAUCCCGUCCGAGUUAUGGACGAGAUAUCUCGCUACCAAAAUGUCGCUUUUGUGAUGCUAUGGACGAGGUAUCUCGUGUCGCAAUUUCUGUUAUGAGAUAUCUCCUACGAAUUACAUUUUGGUAGCGAGGUACCGUCUAGUGUAUCGAAAGGCUUAACUAAACUUUAUAUUCGAGAUUCCGUGGAACUGUGUUAAGUUCUGGAAUUUCAGAGAAUGCUACAACUUAAAUUCUAGGAACAGUCAACUUACUACCAUUAAACAUUUUCAAUAUGACAUGCGUCUACUAUUCAUGGCAGAAGCAAUAAAUUUGGGUAAAAAAAUUAUUGCUUCUAGCAUCGAUGGUAAGUGCAACUCGCGUAAUGACUUUUAAUUAAAAAUUGUACGGUACGAAGAGAACCCACGUGGAGCUCUCUCGAUUAUCAAAAUAAAUGCUUCGAGGCUAAACUACAUAUGUAUAAAAGACUGAGUGCACUUGGACUUCGAGCUGGUGUUGCCUACAUCCGAUCCGUCUAUAUUUUCAUGAAAAAGUUGGUUUAUCGAAAAUAUAAAAAGGUAAAAGAAGAUAUUGGCUACUGCGCGGAUAGCAUUCUACGGAUACAGUGAGUUUACUGCUUGCGAGAAAAGAGUUUCGAAGAUUUACUCGUUCUACCGACGAUGCAUCGCGCGUAUACAUCAGUAAUAUUUAUUACAAUGGGACCGAGAUUGCUUUGGCCUAGCAGAUACAGCCGCGCGAGUGCAUGUAUCAUAACAAACACAACCGUACGCACACAAACGCACACGCAGAGACGUGGUUGCGGGAUACGAGCGCGCGGCUUGUAUAAAGGAUGCGCUUAAUCGUACGUCGGGUUGAAGCGACCACGAAGAUAACGCGAAUCGUUACUCUAUCGAGAUCCGUCGAUCAUUAAUUUCGAUUAAACUUGCGUUAAAUCAUUCCGCGCGGGUAAAUUCGUUAAUAAAUUGUUCUCAACAAAAGCUUAACACAAAUGUACGUUCCUCCUGGGCGAAGAUAAUUCACGACGAGUCUCGAUGCUCGAGCAACAAUGGAUCUCGCGAAAACGACGCGUACGUUGCCCGCGCAAGAGUCGAUCAACAUUUACCAAAGGAUCCGUAGACUAAACGACCCUAUUAAUUACGUCACGCACUAGUCGCUAAGCUCUAUCGAUCGAUAACUAUUUGUAACGUUAAGAAACGAUUAAUAGGCGUUAUACAUACAAACUCACGGUUAAGGGAUAAGGUUUUGCUCACGGAACCCAGCUGCACUCGCCUUUCUCCGUCGUUUUCUUCCUUGCUCGUUCUUUCUUUUUCUUUUUUUCUUUCAACCCCCACCCCAGCAAUUCACGAGCCAACCGAGCGCAGCUGGGUUAAGGAUCAGAAGGAUCUGAUUAAAUUGCUCCUAUAAGAUGCAUCCGCAGGUGCGACGCCGGCUGGGCUGGCUUCUCGACGAGGAAAUGCAUAUCCUGAAAUCGACGAUUUUUUAAGGCGGCUUAGCACGUCCAGGAAAUUGCAUUUUUCAAAUUUGCCCUCGACGCGUCCACGGACUCCUUCCGUGAAUUAAUUGGCCAACUCGGACGGGACCGUUUGCUCGUUGAAUAACGCGUUCUCCGACCGUUUCCCAGUUUACUUUGCCCGGCGAUGGCUCGGUUCCAGUUCGAGCGAGACAACGCGCACCCGUGAUUUAUCAUUUCGAGUGGUUCUCGACGAAACGUGAAAUUGUUUUCGCGUUUCAAGCGUCAUUGCGUCGCGAUCUAUAAGCAACACGCGGCGUCUCGAUCUCUACUGGGAAACGGAGCUACGAGUUCCUGCGACGAUCGAGGUGCGACGAUCGGGAUAAAUAAUUUCACGAAAAGGAGUUUCGUUAUUUAGUCCCACUACUGUCAGUCACUUCGACCCUUCGAUUUUCAAUCAUAAUCGAGGUAAAUUCGAAGAAAAUUUUUGAUAUUUUUAAUAGUUCGUAUCUGGUUGCAAUUGUAACGUUUUGCAAAAGGGGGCAAUUAACUUGAAUAUCUCAUCCGAGUGUAAUUAUAUUUGUGAAACACAACGCAGUAAGUAAUUAUAAUAUCGAGACGUCCAAAAAACAUUCUUGUCAAAAUUUUACAAUUUGUAUUCAACCAAAGAAAAAUUUUCUAUUCAGAUAUCGAAUACAAAACAGUUCGUUCGAUAUUCGACGCUGCAUUAAACACUAAUUACUCGAGUAUUUAAUUUUCGAACCCUGUUCUAAAGGACGAAGAAGUGUAUUCGGUAUUUUGGACGUAUUCAGCCACCCCCGACUCGGACGAAUUGAAACGAGAGUGCCGGCUCGUAGCUGCGGACCGGUAGUCUGAGAUUUUUUAAUAUUUCUAUCGACAGUCCUCGAAAAGUAUACUGAAAGUGCAUAAUCAGAAUGUCUCGACCGAAUCCGACGAAUAUCGACGGAAUGGGGGAAGAUUUGAAGCGCGGCGUAUUUGCAUACUCGAAGCGACGGGGAAGGUCGUCGUUGUAAUCGAUUCGGUUAGGGCCUUUCGCCUCUCAGAUUUAUCUAGAUAAUUAUAUUCGGUAAUUCGUAGGAAUGGCGGAAGACGAGAUCGUGCGCACGAGACGUGUAUUUAUAUACAUAUUCGGACGUAUACGCGCGCGUAUAAGGGGUGUGUAUAAAUAUACGUUGCCCGACGAGAGCGAUGAAAACUCGAACAGAAAAGUAUUAUAAAUAUAGAUAUAUGAAUAUAUAAAUUAUAUAUAUUAUAUACAUACUACAACUAACGCGUAAGGUGUAACUAUCCGUUGGUACAUAUCGCACUUACAACCGGUAGGAAUUAAAGAGGAUGCUUCGUGAAAUGGAAACGAAGCGUCUGAAAGUGUCGACGGAAAUCGAAUGAUCGCCCUGGAAGGAAGAUCGAAAAUAUUACAUGGCGAAACAGGAAAGGGGACGAUGCAGCGAAGUAUAAUUGAAACGAAGCUCCGAUCAAGCGACUUUUCAUUUGAAGUGAUUCAUAUUCAGGCGGUUCUUUUCGAACAAUAUGGAGAAAAGUAUUCAAAUAAGAUCUUAUUCGUUAUUCGACAGGAGUCAGCGAAGAAUAAAUCACGAUCAAGAGGUAUUCAUAGCGCAGUAAUAAAUUGGCCGUCGCGUCCUACUUUCAUUCCAAUGAUUAUUCGAACAAGAAUUUAUUUCGGUAAAGCCGAACCUUAACUGUGGAGUUUCGUUUCUCUCGCAAGUGUCGCAGCAUCGUUCGCGAUCAAUAUUCGCGGUUAUGGAUCAGAAAUAGGCAGAAUGAUAAAUGACGAAUAAGAACUCUGUAUAUUCAGUCGAUGAAACAGUUGCUCGAGUGAGCUGAUAUUCAUGGAACAAAUUGAUCGUGUAAUUCGGACUGCAAGUUUUACUAAGCGCAAAUAGCGAAUCGAUAAAUUUUUUUUUUAUUCAUUCUUCAUUCUUAUCUAGACGAGAAUUUUGUCCAUCUCUGUCGCAGAUCAUGCUCGCGUCGCAGUUCACGCGCAACAGCAUUUUGUAGAUUUUAUACCUCCGAGACGAGAAGCCGUUCGAUCUUCCUUCCCACGGAUUGCUUCGCGAGCGAUUCAAAGUAACCGCAAACUCUCGCGAGAUUUAAAGGACGAGAACAAAAAGGCAGACGGUGUAUCAAAAUAAGGAUUUGUUUGUCCCCCUCUCCCCUUCGAGCCGACUGUACAGUAUAGAGCGUAUCGGGAGCGAACGUAAAGGAACAAAAGUGAACGCGCGUGUGCGAGUGAGUGAUUAAACUAAAAUCGUAUCGAAUGGAUGGCUUGUGGUGCACACAAUUUGUAAAUGCGGACACGAUGACAUCACGAAGUCUCGCGACACAACGAAUAUAAUAAAGAAAAGAAAAGUUCUUCGUUUUCUACACA